rnacentral:ncRNA from 1 species
UAGAUAGAGGUGCAUAAGUCAAGAGUAACCAUAUUGAUUUCGGGAGUUAGGGUGUGGCAAAAGGGGCUUGUGCCGAGGUAGAGAUUACGCUGCCCGAGGUGUGUUUUUGCCGGUUCGCUGCAGAAUAUGCAUCGAACUGUCACUUUUGAUGUGGAGCGCUAUCA